ACGCAAAAAUGUGCAAAAUAUAAAUUGCUGAUUCAGCACAACGUGUGACGUCAUUGGUAGGGUAAGUAUGUUUAAUGAAUACUAAACUGAAGCAUAGCUCAGUUAUUAUGGGACCAAAUCAAAUGAAAUUUUGGAUACUGAUUGUACAUGAUGAGACGCAUUGAAAAACACUUCUAAUUUUGUUGCUAAGGUAACAAUGUCGUUCCCAGGCCCCUUGCGCCAAUUUUAUAAAACAGCUUUAUUCAUGGUACUUAUAAGAAUAAAA